GACGAACGCUGGCGGCGUGCUUAACACAUGCAAGUCGAACGGGAUUUAGUAGACAGAAGCCUCGGCUAAAGAUUACUAAUGAGAGUGGCGAACGGGUGAGUAACGCGUGAGCAACCUGCCUAUGACAGUGGGAUAGCCUCGGGAAACCGGGAUUAAUACCGCAUAAAAUCGUAGAAACACAUGUUUUAACGGUCAAAGAUUUAUCGGUCAUAGAUGGGCUCGCGUCUGAUUAGCUAGUUGGUGAGAUAACAGCCCACCAAGGCGACGAUCAGUAGCCGGUAGAGGGGGAUGAGCGGCAACGGGGGAAAGGAGACCCGGACAAAACUCCACGGGGAGGGGGGGGGGGGGAAUAUGGAAGAAGGGGGGAACCCCGGAGGGGGCGGCGCGGGAAAAAAAAAGAGGGUAUUCGUAUGGAAAAGUCGUCUCUUAGGGGAAGAAAAUAAAGGUCCCAUAGAAGAAGGCCCCGGCAAAAUAGGUC
rnacentral:rRNA from 1 species